rnacentral:rRNA from 1 species
CUUUUGUCGGUCUAUGGUUGUGCCAUAAGGUUGGUCUCAAAGAUUAAGUCAUGCAUGUGUAAGUAUGAAUUGAUUCAGAUUGUAAAACUACGAAUGACUCAUUAAAUCAGUUAUAGUUUGUUUGAUGGUAUACCCCUACUCGGAUAACCAUAGUAAUUCUAGAGCUAAUACGUGCAACAAACUCCGACCCUUGGGAGGGAUGUAUUUAUUAGAUAAAAGGUUGACGUGGGUUUUGCCCGUUGUUCCAAUGAUUCAUGGUAACUCGACGAAUCGCACCGGCCCUCGUGCUGGCGAUGCAUCAUUCAAAUUUCUGCCCUAUCAACUUUUGAUAGUAGGAUAGUUGCCUACCAUGGUGGUGAUGAGUAACGGAGAAUUAGGGUUCGAUUCCGGAGAGGGAGUAUGAGAAACGGCUACUACAUCCAAGAAAGGCAGUAGACACACAAAUUACCCAAUCCUGACACGAGGAGGUAAUGACAAUAAAUAACAAUAUCGAGCUUUUUGAGUUUGGUAGUUGGAAUGAGUACAAUCUAAAUCCCUUAACGAGGAUCCAUUGGAGGGCAAGUCUGGUGCUAGCAGCCGCGAUAAUUCCAGCUCCAAUAACGUAUAUUUAAGUUGUUGCAGCUAAAAAACUCACAGUUGGACCUUGGGUUGAGUCGAUAUGUCCACCUUGUUGUGUGCAUUGGUUAAACUCGUCCCUUCUGCCAAUGAUGCGUGUCUGGCCUUAGUUGGUCGGGUCAUGCCUGUGGCGCUGUUACUUUGAAGAAAUUAGAGUGCUCAAAUCAAGCCCACGCUCUGGAUACAUUAGCAUGGGAUAACAUCAUAGGAUUUCGUUCCUAUUGUGUUGGCCUUGGGGAUUGGAGUAAUGAUUAAAAGAAACAGUCGGGAAGAUUCAUAUUUCAUAGUCAGAGGUGAAAUUCUUGGAUUUAUAAAAGACGAACCACUGCGAAAACAUUUGCCAAGGAUGUUUUCAUUAAUCAAGAACGAAAGAUGGGGGCUCGAAGACGAUCAAAUACCGUCCUAGUCUCAACCAUAAACGAUGUCGACCAGGGAUCGGUGAAUGUUACUCUUAGGACUCCACCGACAUCUUAUGAGAAAUCAAAAUCUUUGGAUUACGAGGGGAGUAUGGUCGCAAGGUUGAAACUUAAAGGAAUUGACGGAAGGGCACCACCAAGAGUGGAGCCUGCGACUUAAUUUGACUCAAUACGAGGAAACUUACCAAAUCCAGACAUAACAAGAAUUGACAGAUUGAGAUUAAAAUGAUUAGACAUAGAUACUAUAAAUAUUUUUAUUUUAUUAUCCUCUUUCAUUAUAUAUUAAUUUUUCAAGAAUCUUAAUCCAUAGGUCUAUAAAUAUGGUUCGAUUAAAAUUUAUUUAUGGACUUAUUUCAACUCCUACAUAUUUAUACAUAUUUAUGCAGUACUCCAGAGUUUAAAUAUAUUAUUUUAUAUUUUUAAAAAUCACAAUAACACUAAUGUUAUUUUAUUUAAGUUGUGAUGUUAAUUUUUUUUUUUUUUUUUUUUUUUUGUCAAAAAUCAACACAAUAGCUGUGCUGUAUGUUAAAGUGUUUAUUUUUAAAAAUCAACGUCACAGGAUGCUAAUGUUUAAAAGAAGACUCAGCGCGGAAGGGAUAAAAUAGGGAUUAGGUGCUCCCUUUAAGAAAAAUAGAACUUAGGCGCGCCCUUCAGGAAUUCGACAAUUUUAGGUGCCUCUUUGGGAAAUUGUUAAUAAGAAGCAAAACAAACGAAUAUAUAAAUAAAUACAGUAGGGAUUUAGUAAAUUAACAGCUAGCUGAAGCCGUAUCCUUCGAACUGCAGCCAUGGGCGUUCCGCCGAGUUCCUCAGCCUUGUUCCCUCUCUUUUUGUCUUCUUCUCCUCUGUUCUUAGCCUUUCUCGUCCUCCUUUGUCCUCCCGUGCCUCUCUCCACGCCCAUAAUUCACCUCGACCGCCUCAUUCUGCACUCAUGCACCAAACCGCCAUGGCCAAUCAUUGUCCCUUCUUCCUCCUCCUCCUCCUCCUCCUUUUCCUUUUCUUGGCCGAAAGCGCCGACGACGAAGGCAGCAUUCUCCUCCAAUUCAAGUCCAAGCUUUCUUCCGACCGCCUCGGCGGGCCCCUCGCCGAUUGGGGCCCCACCAACGGUGCCGGCCCCGGCCCCUGCGCCGCCAAUUGGACCGGCGUCCGCUGCAAACGUGGCCGCGUCUCGACGCUCCAGCUCGAGAACAUGGGCCUCUCCGGCGACGUCAGCCUCGAGGCCCU